rnacentral:lncRNA from 1 species
AAAUAAAAAUGAGUGGCUAUAAAACCAUAUCUACACAAGUGAAAAAUACAUGGAUUUAUAGGGGAUAAUGGGUGACCGUGGAGCACUAUUUAACUCUGAGGAAGUGGGAACAUGAUUUCAAGCCAUUGGAAGCUAGUGAAACCACUAUGCCGUUUGAAUGAGGUUUCCUAAGCUUGCAGUGGAAUACUACCAACAAAGAGUCCUAUACACCAUUGGUAAACUUGUAAGAAAACCUCUGAAAGUGGAUCUAAACACAGCUGCCACAGUCAGAGAUAAAUUUGCUAAAGCCAAAUCUGCUAUUUUUGUUUUGUUAUGAGGAUUUCUAACUUCCUUUGCUUUAUUUUUUUGCUUACCAAGAAAUUACGUAGUUUGAUUCUACUAGGAUUAGGACUUCUAGUGUAAAUAGGGGUGCAAGCCCUAGGGCAAAGUUAAUUGUUCUACAUCAAUAAUGUUUGAGAACUUAUCUCAUUUUUUGACGUUCUUUUGUCCUGCAUAUGUGGCCUCCUCCUCCC